GCAACCCUGAUCUAGCCAUGCCGCGUGUUGUGAUGAAGGCCCUAGGUUCGUAAAGCACUUUCGCCAGAGAUGAUAAUGACAGUAUCUGGUAAAGAAACCCCGGCUAACUCCGUGCCAGCAGCCGCGGUAAUACGGAGGGGGUUAGCGUUGUUCGGAAUUACUGGGCGUAAAGCGCACGUAGGCGGAUUAGUAAGUUAGAGGUGAAAUCCCAGGGCUCAACCCUGGAACUGCCUUUAAUACUGCUAGUCUUGAGUUCGAGAGAGGUAAGUGGAAUUCCGAGUGUAGAGGUGAAAUACGUAGAUAUUCGGAGGAACACCAGUGGCGAAGGCGGCUUACUGCCUCGAUACUGACGCUGAGGUGCGAAAGUUGGGGAGCAAACAGGAUUAGAUACCCUGGUGGCCCACGCCAUAAACGAUGGCCGCCGGACGUCAGCAAUAUACUGGUUGGUGUCACACCUAACGGAUUAAGCAUUCCGCCUGGGGAGUACGGUCGCAAGAUUAAAACUCAAAGGAAUUGACGGGGCCCCCAAGCGGU
rnacentral:rRNA from 1 species